AUGAACGCUAGCUACAGGCUUAACACAUGCAAGUCGAGGGGCAGCAUGGUCUUAGCUUGCUAAGACUGAUGGCGACCGGCGCACGGGUGAGUAACACGUAUCCAACCUGCCGUCUACUCUUGGACAGCCUUCUGAAAGGAAGAUUAAUACAAGAUGGCAUCAUGAGUCCGCAUGUUCACAUGAUUAAAGGUAUUCCGGUAGACGAUGGGGAUGCGUUCCAUUAGAUAGUAGGCGGGGUAACGGCCCACCUAGUCUUCGAUGGAUAGGGGUUCUGAGAGGAAGGUCCCCCACAUUGGAACUGAGACACGGUCCAAACUCCUACGGGAGGCAGCAGUGAGGAAUAUUGGUCAAUGGGCGAGAGCCUGAACCAGCCAAGUAGCGUGAAGGAUGACUGCCCUAUGGGUUGUAAACUUCUUUUAUAAAGGAAUAAAGUCGGGUAUGCAUACCCGUUUGCAUGUACUUUAUGAAUAAGGAUCGGCUAACUCCGUGCCAGCAGCCGCGGUAAUACGGAGGAUCCGAGCGUUAUCCGGAUUUAUUGGGUUUAAAGGGAGCGUAGAUGGAUGUUUAAGUCAGUUGUGAAAGUUUGCGGCUCAACCGUAAAAUUGCAGUUGAUACUGGAUAUCUUGAGUGCAGUUGAGGCAGGCGGAAUUCGUGGUGUAGCGGUGAAAUGCUUAGAUAUCACGAAGAACUCCGAUUGCGAAGGCAGCCUGCUAAGCUGCAACUGACAUUGAGGCUCGAAAGUGUGGGUAUCAAACAGGAUUAGAUACCCUGGUAGUCCACACGGUAAACGAUGAAUACUCGCUGUUUGCGAUAUACGGCAAGCGGCCAAGCGAAAGCGUUAAGUAUUCCACCUGGGGAGUACGCCGGCAACGGUGAAACUCAAAGGAAUUGACGGGGGCCCGCACAAGCGGAGGAACAUGUGGUUUAAUUCGAUGAUACGCGAGGAACCUUACCCGGGCUUAAAUUGCAGAUGAAUUACGGUGAAAGCCGUAAGCCGCAAGGCAUCUGUGAAGGUGCUGCAUGGUUGUCGUCAGCUCGUGUCGUGAGAUGUUGGGUUAAGUCCCGCAACGAGCGCAACCCUUAUUGCCAGUUACUACGCAAGAGGACUCUGGCGAGACUGCCGUUGACAAAACGGAGGAAGGUGGGGAUGACGUCAAAUCAUCAUGCCCUUUAUGACCUGGGCUACACACGUGCUACAAUGGACAGAGCAGAUGGAAGCGAAGCCGCGAGGUGGAGCGAAACCCAUAAAACUGUUCUCAGUUCGGACUGCAGUCUGCAACUCGACUGCACGAAGAUGGAAUCGCUAGUAAUCGCGAAUCAGCAUGUCGCGGUGAAUACGUUCCCGGGCCUUGUACACACCGCCCGUCACACCAUGAGAGUUGGGGAUACCCGAAGCCUGUGAGCCAACAUAUCUAUGAGGCAGCAGUCGAAGGUAGAAUCAAUGAUUGGGGUG
rnacentral:rRNA from 1 species